AGCGGCCCUCGGGUGAGUAACACGUGGGUAACCUGCCUGUAAGACGGGGAUAACUUCGGGAAACCGAAGCUAAUACCGGAUGAUAAAGAGAAACGCCUGUUUCUUUUUUGAAAGUCGGCCUUGUGCUGACGCUUACAGAUGGGCCCGCGGCGCAUUAGCUAGUUGGUGAGGUAACGGCUCACCAAGGCGACGAUGCGUAGCCGACCUGAGAGGGUGAUCGGCCACACUGGGACUGAGACACGGCCCAGACUCCUACGGGAGGCAGCAGUAGGGAAUCUUCGGCAAUGGACGAAAGUCUGACCGAGCAACGCCGCGUGAGCGAUGAAGGCCUUCGGGUCGUAAAGCUCUGUUGUCAGAGAAGAACAAGUACCGGAGUAACUGCCGGUACCUUGACGGUACCUGACCAGAAAGCCACGGCUAACUACGUGCCAGCAGCCGCGGUAAUACGUAGGUGGCAAGCGUUAUCCGGAAUUAUUGGGCGUAAAGCGCGCGCAGGCGGUUCUUUAAGUCUGAUGUGAAAGCCCACGGCUCAACCGUGGAGGGUCAUUGGAAACUGGGGAACUUGAGUGCAGGAGAGAAAAGUGGAAUUCCACGUGUAGCGGUGAAAUGCGUAGAGAUGUGGAGGAACACCAGUGGCGAAGGCGGCUUUUUGGCCUGUAACUGACGCUGAGGCGCGAAAGCGUGGGGAGCAAACACGAUUAGAUACCCUGGUAGUCCACGCCGUAAACGAUG
rnacentral:rRNA from 1 species